UACGUAGGUGACCAGCGUUGUCCGGAUUUACUGGGCGUAAAGAGCGCGCAGGCGGUCGUUCAAGUCGAGUGUGAAAGCCCCCGGCUCAACUGGGGAGGGUCAUUCGAUACUGAUCGACUCGAAGGCAGGAGAGGGAAGUGGAAUUCCCGGUGUAGUGGUGAAAUGCGUAGAUAUCGGCAGGAACACCCAGGGGGAAACCAGCCGACUGGGCAUCUGCUGACGCUGAGGUGCGAGAGCGUGGGGAGCGAACCGG
rnacentral:rRNA from 1 species